rnacentral:rRNA from 1 species
CUAGUAAUCGCGGAUCAGCAUGCCGCGGUGAAUACGUUCCCGGGCCUUGUACACACCGCCCGUCACACCAUGAGAGCCGGUAACACCCGAAGUCGGUAGUCUAACUUUUAGAGGACGCCGCCGAAGGUGGGACUGGUGAUUGGGGUGAAGUCGUAACAAGGUACC